rnacentral:rRNA from 1 species
GACGAACGCUGGCGGCGUGCUUAACACAUGCAAGUCGAACGGAAAGGCCCUGCUUUUGUGGGGUGCUCGAGUGGCGCACGGGUGAGUAACACGCGAGUAUCCUGCCCUUGACUUCGGGAUAACUCCAGUAAACUGGGUCUAAUAUCCGAUAUGAGCUCCUGCUGCAUGGUGGGUGUUGUUAAGUUUCGGCGUUUGGGGACUGCCUCGCGGCCUAUCAGCUUGUUGGUGGGGUAGUGGCUUACCAAGGCUUUGACGCGUAGCCGGCCUGAGAGGGUGACCGGCCACGUUGGGACUGAGAUGCGGCCGAGACGACUACGGGGGGAAGGGGUGGAGAAUGUUGGAGAAUGGGCGGGAGCCUGAUGCAGCAUUGCGGCGUGCGAGGUGAUGGCCUACGGGUAGUAAGCCGGUUACGCCGGAGACGAAGCGUGGGUGACGGUAAUGAGUAGAGAGGCACCGGCUAACUACGU